rnacentral:lncRNA from 1 species
CUCCCAUGUCCUCUCAGCAACCCAGGCUGGAGCCUACUCCUUGGUGUUGGCAAAGGAAACCGUCUUUGAAGCCAGAGGGAGCCCUGAAUUCAUGCAGAGGAGUUUUUCUACCUUCCAUCUGCUUCUGCAUAUCAUCUUGUCUACUUAAUGCCCCUCCUUCCGGAUUUAUAGAACAGUAUGCAUAAUAUGACCCCAACUGCAUUCCAAAAAAUAGAUGUAGAUGUAAG